UACGUAGGCAGCAAGCGUUGUUCGGAAUUACUGGGCGUAUAGAGUGUGUAGGCGGUGCUCUAAGUUCGGUGUGAAAUCUCCCGGCUCAACUGGGAGGGUGCGCCGGAAACUGGAGUGCUGGAGCGCGGGAGAGGAAAGCGGAAUUCCUGGUGUAGCGGUGAAAUGCGUAGAUAUCAGGAGGAACACCGGCGGUGUAGACGGCUUUCUGGACCGUAGCUGACGCUGAGACACGAAAGCGUGGGUAGCAAACAGG
rnacentral:rRNA from 1 species